GAGUUUGAUCCUGGCUCAGGACGAACGCUGGCGGCGCGCCUAACACAUGCAAGUCGAACGAGAGAGAGGAAGCUUGCUUCCUCAAUCGAGUGGCGAACGGGUGAGUAACGCGUGAGGAACCUGCCUCAAAGAGGGGGACAACAGUUGGAAACGACUGCUAAUACCGCAUAAGCCCACAGCUCGGCAUCGAGCAGAGGGAAAAGGAGCAAUCCGCUUUGAGAUGGCCUCGCGUCCGAUUAGCUAGUUGGUGAGGUAAUGGCCCACCAAGGCGACGAUCGGUAGCCGGACUGAGAGGUUGAACGGCCACAUUGGGACUGAGACACGGCCCAGACUCCUACGGGAGGCAGCAGUGGGGAAUAUUGCACAAUGGGGGAAACCCUGAUGCAGCGACGCCGCGUGGAGGAAGAAGGUCUUCGGAUUGUAAACUCCUGUUGUUGAGGAAGAUAAUGACGGUACUCAACAAGGAAGUGACGGCUAACUACGUGCCAGCAGCCGCGGUAAAACGUAGGUCACAAGCGUUGUCCGGAAUUACUGGGUGUAAAGGGAGCGCAGGCGGGAAGACAAGUUGGAAGUGAAAUCUAUGGGCUCAACCCAUAAACUGCUUUCAAACUGUUUUUCUUGAGUAGUGCAGAGGUAGGCGGAAUCCCCGGUGUAGCGGUGGAAUGCGUAGAUAUCGGGAGGAACACCAGUGGCGAAGGCGGCCUACUGGGCACCAACUGACGCUGAGGCUCGAAAGUGUGGGUAGCAAACAGGAUUAGAUACCCUGGUAGUCCACACCGUAAACGAUGAUUACUAGGUGUUGGAGGAUUGACCCCUUCAGUGCCGCAGUUAACACAAUAAGUAAUCCACCUGGGGAGUACGACCGCAAGGUUGAAACUCAAAGGAAUUGACGGGGGCCCGCACAAGCAGUGGAGUAUGUGGUUUAAUUCGACGCAACGCGAAGAACCUUACCAAGUCUUGACAUCCUGCGACGGACAUAGAAAUAUGUCUUUCCUUCGGGACGCAGAGACAGGUGGUGCAUGGUUGUCGUCAGCUCGUGUCGUGAGAUGUUGGGUUAAGUCCCGCAACGAGCGCAACCCUUACUGUCAGUUACUACGCAAGAGGACUCUGGCAGGACUGCCGUUGACAAAACGGAGGAAGGUGGGGAUGACGUCAAAUCAUCAUGCCCUUUAUGACUUGGGCUACACACGUACUACAAUGGCGUUAAACAAAGAGAAGCAAGACCGCGAGGUGGAGCAAAACUCAGAAACAACGUCCCAGUUCGGACUGCAGGCUGCAACUCGCCUGCACGAAGUCGGAAUUGCCAGUAAUCGUGGAUCAGCAUGCCACGGUGAAUACGUUCCCGGGCCUUGUACACACCGCCCGUC
rnacentral:rRNA from 1 species